UACGAAGGGGGCUAGCGUUGCUCGGAAUCACUGGGCGUAAAGCGCACGUAGGCGGAUCGUUAAGUCGGGGGUGAAAUCCUGGAGCUCAACUCCAGAACUGCCUUCGAUACUGGCGAUCUCGAGUCCGGAAGAGGUGAGUGGAACUGCGAGUGUAGAGGUGAAAUUCGUAGAUAUUCGCAAGAACACCAGUGGCGAAGGCGGCUCACUGGCCCGAUACUGACGCUGAGGCACGAAAGCGUGGGGAGCAAACAGG
rnacentral:rRNA from 1 species